AACGAACGCUGGCGGCAGGCUUAACACAUGCAAGUCGAGCGCCUUGGCAACAAGGAGCGGCAGACGGGUGAGUAACGCGUGGGAAUCUACCCAUCUCUACGGAAUAACUCAGGGAAACUUGUGCUAAUACCGUAUACGCCCUUAGGGGGAAAGAUUUAUCGGAGAUGGAUGAGCCCGCGUUGGAUUAGCUAGUUGGUGGGGUAAAGGCCUACCAAGGCGACGAUCCAUAGCUGGUCUGAGAGGAUGAGCAGCCACAUUGGGACUGAGACACGGCCCAAACUCCUACGGGAGGCAGCAGUGGGGAAUAUUGGACAAUGGGCGCAAGCCUGAUCCAGCCAUGCCGCGUGAGUGAUGAAGGCCCUAGGGUUGUAAAGCUCUUUCACCGGAGAAGAUAAUGACGGUAUCCGGAGAAGAAGCCCCGGCUAACUUCGUGCCAGCCGCCGCGGUAA
rnacentral:rRNA from 1 species